GCGACCACAACGUCUGUUGCGGCCCGUUCGAUCGGUGCGUUAAUAUUCUUCUAGCCAGUGAGUGGCAGGUGGUCAGUGUCGUAUAGCUGGCAAUGUGACAGCAGAGAACGUUAGACUGAGGCACUGUCUCCCGCGGAGCAGUAUAAAAUAUCUCAGGGUCUUGUUCACGGUCGACUGGCGGAUCGGGGCGACGUUGUACAAGUCAGUCGUGGUGAGGAGGGUGCUGAGCCGACAAGCAAAGCUGUCGAUUUACCGAUCGAGCUAAGUUCCUGCCGACACCUAUGGCCAUGAACUGUGCGUAUUUACAUGAAGCACUAGAUCGCAGAUACGAGCGGCGGAAAAGAGUAUCAGGGUGGCUGGGCUCAGCCUUCGAGAAGGGGUGAGGAGAGCAGACGAGGUGGUUCAGACAUCUGAUAGGAUGCCUUCUGGACGCCAGCCUGAGAAGAUGUUUCAGGCAUGGAGUUGGGAUCUCGGGGAAGACCAAGGAUGAGUGGGAAUGAGUCGGUGUCCAUGCUUAGUCUGCUGCCCCAAUGACCCAAACCCGAUUCGCUGCCGAAAAUCAAAGGAUGGAUGGAUAAUUUUAACAGGGAAAAAGCGGAGGAACUUUUCACAGUCUGCAAUGAUCAGAUCAGAUAAAGGCUGGCGUAGUUUAUUAACCACAGACAUACAAUAUGCAUUGGUGUGCGCUUAUGGCUAACACACACAUACGCCAAGCCUACGCUGGGGCAAACGUAUUGUCGCCAGUUCAUCAAACCUGCAUGUAUUUGGAAAUUGGGAGGAAACGGAAGCACCCGGAGCAAAUCCACUCAGGAUGGGAAGAACAGGCUAACUACUAAGGCCGUAUUUUAUUCGGAUGGUGGUAAGAGGAGGAUUCGAAACCAUCGCCUUCUCCAUCUUGGCUGGUGGGCCCGGGGGUGUUGAUCCUGCUGAGCUAUUCUUUGGGCCGUUUUUACGGUGGAGCUUCAACACUUUUAGCAACUGGUCGCUCCGUCGACAACUCAAAUAAAAGAUAUUUAUCUGGAUCGUCAUUCUUCGGGGGGAGGGGGUCUCGAUCGCGGGGCCGACUCGGUCUUGGCUGGCGGGGACCAUUGCUUGUUUCGCUGUGCCACCCGGGAGUCCCCUUUUGAAGGCUGGUAUAGAAAUCAUUUAUACCGUUAACUCUUCGGUGGACACAGCAAAUAAAUAUCUCUGUUUUAGAUGCUCCUACGAUUUGGAGGGGAGAGACGCGAACCCGCACUCGUCUACGCAGCAUGAGUGGUCCACCCGGUUGAGCUACCGAGUCCGACUGGAGUAAGGCGACUAGACGCAUUUAAUGUUAGCGACAGGCCUGUGGCCCCCUUAAAGAAAUAGGUUAGUUAGUCCCUUGUCACGGCUGGCGCUCGAACCCCGCACCUUCACUUCUUACAGGAAGAACCGAAUCGGCUCGUCCAUCUCGGUGAGCUAAUCCUCCGGCCGUUUGUUACUAGAAAUCUUUUAUAUCAUUGACGGGGGGGCUGCAAAUAAACUGAAGGUAUACAUGUUAGGUGUGACGGGGGGCUGCAAAUAAACUGAAGGUAUACAUGUUAGGUGAGGUGAAUCCUAAGGGGUGAAGGUCGGGCCUGUCCUCCCUUUGACCGGGGUGGUCAGUCUGUUUUGGCCGCUUGGCCCACGUAAUCUAUAAAUUAGUUUUAUCGCCAGCCCCAUCAAAUAAAGAGUUCACUUUCAAUUUUAACACCCCUUGUUUCUUGAUGGGACCCGAACUCGUGGAUCUCAAGCACUGCUCGGCCACGGCGAUGGUUUUUACCUCAUUGAGCCACUCCAGCUGACUCAGCGUUCUGGCGGCCGGUCGUGUUUUAUACCAGCGACAUGUCAGUGGACCCCUUAAAUAAAGGGGCUUUGUGCUACGAGUGGACAGGCCGGCAUUGCACCGAGUGGGUGGAAGUGGCCCGUUCAUCGGGGUGAGCUAAUCCUCUGCUGUGAGGUGCAAGGAGUCCUUAAUAUUAUUAAAAGACGGAGGGCGCUGAGUGUAAACUGGCGAUUAAGAAAUAAUGUGAAGGAAAUUCUAUAUGGUGGUUACGGGGGCUUGAACCCGGGACUUCCCCCUAUAAAGGGGCGCUUGUCCCCCGGAGCUGUUUGCACACACCGAGUCACGAU